rnacentral:rRNA from 1 species
UGAGGAACAUGACCUUCGGCGGGGGAGUAGCCGGCCCAACGGCCGGGUAAUACCGCGUACGACCACUCGGGGACAUCCCCAGGUGGUGAAAGCAGCAAUGCGCCGAUGGAGUGCCUCGCGGCCUAUCAGCUAGUUGGUGAGGUAACGGCUCACCAAGGCGACGACGGGUAGCUGGU